AAGGGGGAAAAGGACGAAAAAGAAAGGAGAGAGAGCAGCAGAGCAAGAAGAGAAAUGCCAGAGGUGCAGAAGUACACAAGACGAAGCAAAGCACUGGGCUUUUCCCUAACCUGGAGAAAGACCCAUCUGAGAAUGUCAAAAGUGUUGUCUUGGAGACUUCUUGUGGAAAACCCAGUGAAGGAUUUUCAUGGGUCUGUUUAAGAAAGAGCUUAACUUUUGCAAAGUAUGAGAGCCAUGUAAAGAAGCUGGGGGU
rnacentral:lncRNA from 1 species